rnacentral:rRNA from 1 species
CCCUACGGGGUGCACCAGGCUCUGCAGUUGCUUGGCAAGGAAGCCCAGGUAACUGCCGUGACGGACAUGUCGCAGAUCAUGGCCUAUGGCGUGCUGUCCAUGCCGGCGCUGGUCGUUGACGGCAAGGUGCUUGCGAGUGGACGGGUACUUUCACCAGAGGAAAUAAGGCGAGCGCUGGUGAGCGCUGGCAUCUGAUUUUCGCUCUCCAAGACCCCGACUGGCAAACGCCCCAUGCUCACUCUGGUUGCCGACUGGUUCACGUAUGUUCUGCUGCGCAUGCCGCAGGGCACAGUUCUGAGCAGCGCAGUACAGUUCUUUGUCUAUGACAUCAUUAAGAUCUAUCUCCUGCUGGCGGGAGAGC